UACGUAGAUGGCAAGCGUUAUCCGGAUUUAUUGGGUGUAAAGGGCGUGUAGGCGGGAGCGCAAGUCAGAUGUGAAAACUCAGGGCUCAACCCUGAGCCUGCAUUUGAAACUGUUUUUCUUGAGUGCUGGAGAGGCAAUCGGAAUUCCGUGUGUAGCGGUGAAAUGCGUAGAUAUACGGAGGAACACCAGUGGCGAAGGCGGAUUGCUGGACAGUAACUGACGCUGAGGCGCGAAAGCGUGGGGAGCAAACAGG
rnacentral:rRNA from 1 species